CCAGAGAAACCCAUCGACUGACACAGAGAGCUGUUAACCAUAUGGAUAAGACCAUCAAAGAACUGUUAAAACCAGUUGAACCAGAGAUUGUUGUCGCAAAACAAACAGUAUGUUAUGUGAAACAUGGAGACUCCAGAGUUCUUACCAUUAGGACCAUUGUUUUCAUUAUAUACCGUUGGUGAAAAGUUUGGAGCAGCUGCUAUCACAUCCAAGAAUAAUUGCAAUGAUUGAUGAGAGACCAAAGACGUGCAAGGAUGGAUUUUUUCAUGAUUUCAUUGAUGGAGACAUUUUUAAGUCACACCCACUGUUUUUGAAAUUUCCCACAGCAUUGCAGUUGGUUUUAUAUACAGAUGAAAUUGAGCUAUGCAAUCCUCUUGGAUCUCGUGCAAACAAAAACAAAUUGUUAUUGAUUUAUUACACCUUAGGUAACAUCAACCCUAAAUACAGAUCAAGACUUGCCGCUAUUCGUCUGCUUGCCAUGGUAAAAUCAAAAGAUCUUUCUCAUUGUGGUAUUGAUAAGAUAUUUGAGAGGAUUAACCGUGAUUUAACUGAGCUGCGUGAUGGUGUCCAGGUUGUCACUGCAAAAGGUGAGAGGACAAUUUAUGGGGCACUUAUGUCUGUGUGCGGAGACACUCUAGCUCAGCAUGAAGUGGCUGGAUUUAAGAUAGGAGUGGGAUUUGCCUACAGUAAAUGCAGGCACUGUGAAUGCAACUUUGAAGACAUGCAGGAGCAAUUUAAUGAAGAUUUGUUUGUUAAAAGGACAAUGGCAAGU